AAGCCUCUUGGAUCAAAUUAUAUUCAAAAGAAAGCGCACUGAUAUUUCAAACUGACAAAGUUAUCUUGGAAUGUGCAGCACAUAUAUGGUUAUGUGUGGACAAAAUUAUGUGUGGAUGGUUUGAGUUAUCUUUGAGGAACUCUCAUGAAAGAGGACUUCCUGAACCGCUUUAGAGAGUGGAAACAGUGAUGAGAUUCAUCCUGACAGAUUAAUAUGCAGCAAGAGAGACCCGCUGUCAAUGGGCAUUUUGGAUCAUGUGUUUAAAACUGCCUUUGAUGUGUUUGUGGGUCAGGAAUUUGGGAAGGGAUUGUCUGGAAGACAUAGCUGGAACAAUGAAGCACUAGAAUAGCUGGAAGCUGACUGGACAUUUCUCUCUACAGACCUCCAGGAUUUUAAUUUGUUUUCACAUGUGGGCUAUUUUGAGUUUUCUCACAGCAUGGUUGAUUUGAAGCCAUUAGCUUGCAUAUGCAGAGGGUCAGCAUUCAAAGUGUGACUGUCUAGCAGAAAGGCAGAAUCUGAAUUGUCUCUCCUUCCUUAGCCUCAGAAGUCACCCAGCAUCACCUGCACUGUGCUCUAGUUCUUGAGCCAGGCAGAAAAACCCAACAGUUUCAAAGGGAAGGGAUGUAGAUCUCACCUUUCUGUGAAAGGAGUUUCAGUGCAACGAAUGUGGGUGUUGGAAGAUAUUACUGGGACCAUCUAUAGAAGAUAUUGUCUGCCACAGCUAUUAAUAGUACUAGCUCAUUGUGGUUUCUUUGGAUUGUCACCCACUCCAAGGAAAAAUGUAGCAACAGUUAAAAAAAAACAUAGUUCUAAGCAGCUUUCUGUUAUGAAAUAAAAUGAAAAUGAUCUGUCUAAUCAGACUAUUUCCUGGUGCUAAAAAACAGUUAACUCCAUUUAAUUCUGUCACAAAGUCAAAUGUUCUACGGUGCUUGAAAGAUAAUACAUAUGUUGUUAAUAUCAGAUGCCAAAACAUACUUCAUAUUAUGUUAAUGAAACGAAGGAAUCUAAGCUUUUGAAACAGAAGAUCAUCUUUCCUUCUUAAGACAGUACGCCUGGAGAAUGUCCUAGGGCACUGCAUUUAUCAUUACACAUUACAAGGAAGCACAUGAAUUUCCUUCCAUAAUUAAAGAACUCAAACUAUAUCUUUACAGGUACCUGGCAUUUAAGGUUAUUAGCAUUUCAAAAGUUGACUCAAGAAUCUGAAAACAAAUAGACUGUUCAGCAGAAAAGUUUCCAUACAUUUUUAUGUGUCACUAUCUAAUUUUCCUUUUCAAGCUUGGAACAGUAUUAAAAAUCUGAGAUAUAUAAGGAUUUAUUAGUGCCUUCAUAGUCCUUGUUACCAAUAAAUUGUUGAUGGCAUGAACAUCAAAGCUUUGCCCCUCCACCAUCAUUUUUUUCAAUCCAAGACUAUUGGGAAGGAGUUGAGAUGUAAAUAUGAAAAAUAAGUGUUCUUGUGAUGAACGUGCCUCAGAAUCGAGGAGAAGCCAUCGUUCUGUAGGAAAGGAAGUCUGUACUUUAGAAAUUCUUGUUGUUAUGUGCUAUGCCUAAAUCAAAAGAGGGAAGAAGUUGCCAUAUUCUUAGUCCCGGAAAAGAAAAGCUUCUAAAUGUAGAUAUAACAUGUAUGAUAAAAAAGUAAUGCCUCAGUAUCAUCUGUGACAGCACAAUUGUUCCUUCAAAAGUGAAUCCUGUGGGUUGUAAAAUAGCAUAUAUGGUGUGAUUCCAGUCACAUGUAAAUGUAGAAACCUAUGUGUGUGCACAAACGCACAGCAAUUGGGUGGACAAAACCUGGAUGAGUGACACACACCAAACAACUGUGCUUUGCAGGUUCCUCUGGGCAGGGGGUAGAAUUGGAGCCUGGAGGAAAUCCUGAAAGCAAAAGUUUCACUUUUCAUUGUCUCUGUGUGAUUUGACCUUUUAACAUUGAAGAUAUAUUACUUGUGCUUUUAUAAGAAAUGAAAAGAAUGUUAUCUACUUUCCUGCUUUUGUUGGUAUAGAAAUCAGGGUAUAUUGUUACUAGGAAAAGAUGUUUAUUUGGCAUUUAUUUUAUAGAAGAACAUAGCAUU